rnacentral:tRNA from 1 species
GCGACGAGUUGUAGCCUCGCACAGGGGGAAGAGAGGGGUCCUCCGCUACCA